CGAAUCAAGAAUGUUAAAUUCACAAUUUUCAUAUAUAAGAGAGGCAAAGACACACGGAGGGAGACAGGCCCCCCCCCUUUCGUGGGAAAAAUUUGGUUGAUUAUAUAGGGAAUUAUUGAAGCAUGACUGGAGCGGGCCCCCCCUUAGCAAAAGUUCUGGAUCCGCCACUGAAAGAAGCAACAAGAUGUAGAAGAAAACUUUGAAUAGAAAGGAGGGUUGGAGUGAGUAAUGUUGUCGGUUACACAGUUAAUGCAGAUUUUGACCUGCCAAGACCAAGGUUCAUACAGGUCAUGCAGAGUAAAUUUCACGAAAUAUUUUCUUCCCUGGUAGUUUGAAGUACUAUUUUAUUGAAAAUACCAAAAUUUGGACAGUCAAGACCUUAUUCACCACUUUUUUUCUAGAAUUCUAGGGAAAUGUUUCUUAUGGACCCUGUUUGGACUUGAUAUUACACUUAAAAACUUAAUUAUGAGCCACAAUGAAAGAUCAGGACAUAUUUAUUGAAUUUAAAUGAAUUUUGGCAUUGAAAAGUCCUAAAAGUGAUUGGGUCUUGGCAACUUCAGACAAUAUGUGUAUGGUGUAUGGACCCUGGAAAAGAGAAUAUGUUUGGUCAAGAUGGAAUUAACUAUCCUUUGGAUUGUGAUCACAUAUUUUGUGCAAUUUUGAUUGUUUUUAUGAGAAUGAGAAUAAUGUUUAAUCACACUAUGUAAAGAAAGACUGAAAAUUAAUUAGAAUUUACCAACAAUUUGUCCUGAAUAAUUCAUGUAAUACUUGCCACUGGAUGUUGAGUAAUUGAUUAAUAAUUCCUGUUUGAAAGUAUCUAUUUUGUUUUAUGUUUCAAAAAGAAAUAUACAAUUUUGUCAUUUAUUUAAAUAGUGUUUUGUUUUGUCAGCAACAAACCUUGUAUAUACAAAAAUAACAUUGUCUAAUCAACAUGUGAUAUGAAAAACUGUUAGAGGCCUUAUGAUACCAAAAAUGAUCACAGAGGUGAAAGAAAUAUAUCAAAACAUAAUAUUCAUUGUUGUUAUGGUGUGGAUGAAGUGUGACUGAUAAUUAUUGUUGUGCUUGAAAUAAAAUUAUUUAACACCUA
rnacentral:lncRNA from 1 species